rnacentral:lncRNA from 10 species
AUUCUAGCCUGGAGCUUUAGAAGACGAAGUAAAAAAGAAGUCAGACAGUCCUAGCUUUGAAUCCUGGCCCAGCCACUUACUAGGUGGGAGACCUUGGGUAAGUCACUUAACCUCUCUGAGCUUCUGUUUCCUUCCUUGGGUGUAGAAUGGGGAUAAGAAGCCUGCAAGAGCAGAAUAAGGAUUCAAAGCUAUAUAGUAGGUGCUCACUAAAUAGUAGAUAUUUGUAUGAUUUGAAACUGUCCAUAAUUGUUC